UCAAGACAGCUGGAUUUUCAGUUCCUCCUCAUUGUGGAUUAUUCUAGAGAAAUCCAGAAAGGGAAAACAUGGCGCGGUGCCUCAAAGGCUCUGUUUCCGUUGACGGCGACGAACCUUUCCUGCCGCAGUAACAGCUGCAAAGCGAGUGGAGAAAUACCGAGUCGAGAUCUAAAUCUCUUCGAGGGUUUCCUCCUUUGUUCCAUUGAUUUAUUGUGAUUUUUUGGGAGUUCUGCUGGUGGCGGUUCGAAUUGGCGUGGUGAUUUGUAGCGGAUGGAGAUGGCUGGGUUCGCUUCGAGGAAGGCGAAGAGGAAAGAUCUGGAAGAGUUUUACGACGAAGAGAUGGGCCACCCGCUGUCAUGUCCUGCUACGAAGAUUAGGAGACUGGAUGCUGACAUGCUCUCUGUGAUGGAAGAGAAUGAUACAAUCACUGUGUCCAGACUUCCCUAUCUGCUGCCAAAGGAACAAUUGCAAGACAUGGAAGUUGUUCCAACCCAUAACGUGGCAACAUAUCAUCCAAACGAGGAGAGAUCCUUAGUUAUAUAUAACACUCCUGAAGCCUUACCAGUUGUACCCUCUGAUGAGCCAAUGGUUUCUUUUAGAAUGAGCUCAAAUUUGAUUCAUGGAAUCAAAAACAAAUUGUUCAAGCUUCAGGAUCAAACUGUCUUCAACAUGGACGACAAGGUAGCUGCAUCCAAUGACUCCCUAGCAUUGGUUCCUUGGGUGCCACGGCAGGAAUCUCUCAAUUCGUACGAGUUCAUUGCCACUCAAUUCAGUGAUCCACAACAUGACCCGAUGGAAUCCGAACAAGCUGAGGCAGUUCUCAUGGAAGUCGAAGAAAACAAAGAGCAACCAGGGACUCUGAAUUUGAAGCAAAUGCGCUCCAGCAAUGGCAGCAACAUUGUAUGACUUCUAAGCACUUGCCUAAUACACCAAAUCCUAUAAUAUGGUAACCUUGAAGAGGAACCGAGGCUCUCAUGGUAGUUGGAGAAAGCAAGGACCAAGCCAGAAGCAAUGAAUUGGAAGUGAGGAGGAGCUCCGGCAAUGGCAGCAACAUUGCAUGGCUCAUCAAUACUUAGUAAAAAAACAUACCUAACCCUAUAAGGUGGUAAUACACUGAUGAAAAAUGGAGGUAUCGAUUAGUUUUCCUUCUGGUUGAAUGUUAAUCCAUCGAACUCAAACCUCUAAAGUCUAAAGAGGAUGGUGUUUGUAAAGUUUACUACAAGAAUAGCAAGAACACACGUCUGACUUCACUA